CAGCCGCCGCGGUAAUACGAAGGGUGCAAGCGUUAAUCGGAAUUACUGGGCGUAAAGCGUGCGUAGGCGGUGAGUUAAGUCUGCUGUGAAAUCCCCGGGCUCAACCUGGGAAUGGCAGUGGAUACUGGCUCGCUAGAGUGUGUCAGAGGAUGGUGGAAUUCCCGGUGUAGCGGUGAAAUGCGUAGAGAUCGGGAGGAACAUCAGUGGCGAAGGCGGCCCCCUGGACAAAGACUGACGCUCAGGUGCGAAAGCGUGGGGAGCAAACAGGAUUAGAUACCCGUGUAGUCCCUGUCUCUUAUAC
rnacentral:rRNA from 1 species